AACAUACUGUCGCUCUAUAAACUUGGCUAUUUUGAGAUUCUUGGUAGAGCAGUGGGUUUGAUGUGAUAUAAAAGCGAUAAGUGUUUUUUGGUGAGUCUACAUUUGAGAAAUUUUUUUUUGUGGGGGUACAACUUCAUAUUUUGAGAAAAUACAAGGAAAUGUAUAACUGACUUCUUGCUUAUAGGAAGAAAACAAUUUUUUUUUUUAGUAAAAGGAGACUGCCUGUGUGGCUUCUCUCUUUGGAGGAGAGGGAUGUCUCAUGGCCACCCCAAUCAGGUCGGGGUGGCCACGUUGGCACCCCAAGUUUGUCGUGGUGGCCGCCUGGCUACCCUCUCCUCCGCUGAAGGUGGUCACACGGUCACUUUUUUUUUUUUUUUUUUGAAAAGAAAUUCUUACAUAAUAAAUUAAAAAAAAAAAUCUUACAUAAUAAAUUACUCUCUACACCUGAAAAAAUUAAGCACUUGUUUUGUCAAAAUAUUUUUAUAAGGCGUGAAAAGUUCUGUACAAAGUAUUUUGUGUUUUAAGUUGUUUGUUAAUGGUUUUUAAAAAAGUGUGUUUUCGUCUAAGAAAAAUGUUUUCAGAGACAUUACCAAACAUAGACUUAUUUGAGAGAGCUAUAUCAUCUGCUCUGUUAUGCAUUUAUUUUCCUAAGUGCUAAUUUAUAAGUAUUGGAGGAGCCACUUUAGGGACCGUUUGGUUCAAGAAAUCUUGGCAGGAAUCCCAUAUUGCGUUCUGGAAUCUGCGAGUAUUCCCAUAUACGUGUCUGGUUUUGUACCGAAAAUUCUAGCAAUCUGAUAUUUUUGUAGGUAUUACAUUCUCGCAUUUUGUGACAUUCUGAGAUUCAUACCUGGUGCGAAUGUUGGGUAGUGUCAACUGUGUCAUGUCUAAAUGCUCCCACUUAGUUUCCAUGAUUUCGGCCAUCAUUUGCCGACCACCACCUGUUGGUCACCUCCAACGGCCACCUGCAUAGUCAUCUUCCCUGAUCACUGUGUCAGCCACCUGCCGGCCACUGUCUCCAGCAUAGAGAUAUGUUGCUCCAAUUUUAUUCCAAAGGGAGUUUGCUGGAGUCAAUAAGGCAUCUCCAAUGGUAGUUCUGCUCAAUUGCUGUCAAUCAAGAUGACUACCAGUGUACCUCUCCAUAGAGAUUUACCUCUUUGAAGUCCUUUUUUCCCCCAAUUAGUGCUGAGUGUGCUUGAAAAGCAUGUCAGACUGAAGCGUGAUUAAUAAACAAUUGUUGAAUAAAUUGAGUUUUGGUUGGUUUCUAAACAAAAAUAGCUCAUUGGUUGACAUUAGGAGAUCUGAUAGCACCAGUAUUUCAUCUUAUAUUAUUUAUCCUUGUAAAGUUAUUUAAAGAAUCUGAAUAAAAUCAGGAGAGAAGAAUUAUUUUGUCA